rnacentral:rRNA from 1 species
GAUGAACGCUGGCGGCGUGCUUAACACAUGCAAGUCGAACGAAGCGCUUAAACGGAUUUCUUCGGAAUGAAGUUUUUGCGACUGAGUGGCGGACGGGUGAGUAACGCGUGGGUAACCUGCCUCAUACAGGGGGAUAACAGUUAGAAAUGACUGCUAAUACCGCAUAAGCGCACAGUGCUGCAUGGCACAGUGUGAAAAACUCCGGUGGUAUGAGAUGGACCCGCGUCUGAUUAGCUAGUUGGUGGGGUAACGGCCUACCAAGGCGACGAUCAGUAGCCGGACUGAGAGGUUGAACGGCCACAUUGGGACUGAGACACGGCCCAG